rnacentral:rRNA from 1 species
AGACCCGAAACCCGGUGAUCUAGCCAUGGGCAGGUUGAAGGUUGGGUAACACUAACUGGAGGACCGAACCGACUAAUGUUGAAAAAUUAGCGGAUGACUUGUGGCUGGGGGUGAAAGGCCAAUCAAACCGGGAGAUAGCUGGUUCUCCCCGAAAGCUAUUUAGGUAGCGCCUCGUGAAUUCAUCUCCGGGGGUAGAGCACUGUUUCGGCAAGGGGGUCAUCCCGACUUACCAACCCGAUGCAAACUGCGAAUACCGGAGAAUGUUAUCACGGGAGACACACGGCGGGUGCUAACGUCCGUCGUGAAGAGGGAAACAACCCAGACCGCCAGCUAAGGUCCCAAAGUCAUGGUUAAGUGGGAAACGAUGUGGGAAGGCCCAGACAGCCAGGAUGUUGGCUUAGAAGCAGCCAUCAUUUAAAGAAAGCGUAAUAGCUCACUGGUCGAGUCGGCCUGCGCGGAAGAUGUAACGGGGCUAAACCAUGCACCGAAGCUGCGGCAGCGACACUGUGUGUUGUUGGGUAGGGGAGCGUUCUGUAAGCCUGUGAAGGUGUACUGUGAGGUAUGCUGGAGGUAUCAGAAGUGCGAAUGCUGACAUAAGUAACGAUAAAGCGGGUGAAAAGCCCGCUCGCCGGAAGACCAAGGGUUCCUGUCCAACGUUAAUCGGGGCAGGGUGAGUCGACCCCUAAGGCGAGGCCGAAAGGCGUAGUCGAUGGGAAACAGGUUAAUAUUCCUGUACUUGGUGUUACUGCGAAGGGGGGACGGAGAAGGCUAUGUUGGCCGGGCGACGGUUGUCCCGGUUUAAGCGUGUAGGCUGGUUUUCCAGGCAAAUCCGGAAAAUCAAGGCUGAGGCGUGAUGACGAGGCACUACGGUGCUGAAGCAACAAAUGCCCUGCUUCCAGGAAAAGCCUCUAAGCAUCAGGUAACAUCAAAUCGUACCCCAAACCGACACAGGUGGUCAGGUAGAGAAUACCAAGGCGCUUGAGAGAACUCGGGUGAAGGAACUAGGCAAAAUGGUGCCGUAACUUCGGGAGAAGGCACGCUGAUAUGUAGGUGAAGUCCCUCGCGGAUGGAGCUGAAAUCAGUCGAAGAUACCAGCUGGCUGCAACUGUUUAUUAAAAACACAGCACUGUGCAAACACGAAAGUGGACGUAUACGGUGUGACGCCUGCCCGGUGCCGGAAGGUUAAUUGAUGGGGUCAGCGCAAGCGAAGCUCUUGAUCGAAGCCCCGGUAAACGGCGGCCGUAACUAUAACGGUCCUAAGGUAGCGAAAUUCCUUGUCGGGUAAGUUCCGACCUGCACGAAUGGCGUAAUGAUGGCCAGGCUGUCUCCACCCGAG